rnacentral:lncRNA from 1 species
AGAGACUCUCCCUGGGGCCACUGUGGGACCGUGGGCUUUCCCACUGGUUCACAGGGUAAUCACGGGGGGCUUAGGGUUGUAGGCACCUGUUUCCACAGCCAUGCUGAUGCACAUGCCCACCCUCGGGGCAAUGGCAGUGCUAUGAGUGUCAGCCGGGAGAGAGUUUCUCACAGGUUGCAUACAAGAAUAGACAUGACUCCAUUAUCUCCCGGCUCACUGUGAAAAAGAAAAUCCUGACAUCAGGAUUGAGGAACCUGUGAACAGAACCUUCUUGUUUUUUUCAUUUUGCAACCCAACUUCCCCUUUGGCCUCGAACAGCAUAGUCUGUUUUCUGACACUGACUUCCUUCCCUUCUGCGCCACGUCCUCCUGUCUGACUCUGCAGGACUCUGCCCAAUAAAUGUGGUCAGUUGAUUGAGUAAAGAAUGAGUUUGAACUCGCCAGGCCGAGCCCCCAGGAAGCCCCAUCCGUCUCUCCACACUUCUGCUGUCGCUCCCAUUGUGGGGGAGACAUUACUCAAACCACAGGCUGCAGACUCCCAGGUAACUGCAGCCAGCGGGAGGCUCCGCGGGACAACAAGUGUGCUCUUCAUCCACCUUUUUGUUGCGAUGGGAAGAAAUGCGCUCGCUUGGCUUUUCUCUGCCUGUGUUAACACACCCCGGUGGCAAAUGCUUUAUUGCUGGGCCUUGACCACACUCUUUGAGACUCACUGACUCUGCGGUCAUAAAUUCUUGAUAUAAACAAAUUCAUGGUUUUCCAUCUAUCCAAACCAACCAGAAAAGAUUACAUGUUCAUAUGUUUUUGUUGAAAGUGUAUUUAAAAUUUCGCUUACAGGAAUUGCCCCCUGGAGAAGACAACUUGAUUUUUCUCUUAGAUUUUGGGAGACUGAAUGUGCCAUCAGAUUCUGUCAAAGAUAACAAAGCCAUCCUCAACUUUGGGGCCGACAUAUAGACUCCACUGAACGCUCAGUCGCAGUGCUUUUUGUGUUAGAAAGACUCGUGGGAGAUAAGAAAAUGAAGUGUCUUUAUUUCUUUCCUCCACAAGUAGCUGGUUUCAGUGAGCGUUGGUGGCGUUGGUACCGUGGGUUCAUUAACAAACAUUCUAACGCUCGUCCUGUGUUUGACUCACCACGAAACCGUACACUAAAUCUGCUCCGUGUUCUUUGUAGAAUUCUGUAUGUGUCAUCUGGCUUGGAUUCACUAUCUGCGUUUUACAGAGAAGGAACAAAUUUGAACAAAAUAUAGAAGCUUUAAGCAACACACAUUGAACUCAAACAUUUAAGACUUAGAGUGAUCUUAAGCUCGUGUCUUUAUCUUGUCAUUUUCUGUGACGUGUGGUCUAUUUUGGAUGCUGAGUUUGUUCCACGUCCCCAGCAUCCAGAUAAUAUAAGGCGAGGAAUUCAGACUCUCCUAACAGAAAAAAGGAAAAUAACGUGAGAAAAUUGUACUGUUUUAUUUUAAC